rnacentral:rRNA from 1 species
UCCGAAGAGGUUAAAAGCUCCGGCGGUGAAGGAUGAGCCCGCGGCCUAUCAGUUUGUUGGUGGGGUAAUGGCCCACCAAGGCGACGACGGGUAGCCGGCCUGAGAGGGCGACCGGCCACACUGGGACUGAGACACGGCCCAUACUCCUACGGGAGGCAGCAGUGGGGAAUAUUGCACAAUGGGCGAAAGCCUGAUGCAGCGACCCCGCGUGAGGGAUGACGGCCUUCGGGUUGUAAACCUCUUUCAGCAGGGAAGAAGCGCAAGUGACGGUACCUGCAGAAGAAGCGCCGGCUAACUACUUGCCAGCAGAUUUGGUAAUACGUAGGGCGCAAGCGUUGUCCGUUAUUAUUGGGCGUAAAGAGCUCGUAGGCGGCCUGUCGCGUCAGAUGUGAAAGCCCGGGGCUUAACCCCGGGUCUGCAUUCGAUACGGGCAGGCUAGAGUGUGGUAGGGGAGAUCGGAAUUCCUGGUGUAGCGGUGAAAUGCGCAGAUAUCAGGAGGAACACCGGUGGCGAAGGCGGAUCUCUGGGCCAUUACUGACGCUGAGGAGCGAAAGCGUGGGGAGCGAACAGGAUUAGAUACCCUGGUAGUCCACGCCGUAAACGUUGGGAACUAGGUGUUGGCGAC